CCUACGGGGCGCUGCAGUGAGGAAUAUUGGUCAAUGGGCGGGAGCCUGAACCAGCCAAGCCGCGUGAGGGAAGAAGGUACAGCGUAUCGUAAACCUCUUUUGUCAGGGAACAAAGGCGGGGACUAGUCCCCGGAUGAGGGUACCUGAAGAAAAAGCAUCGGCUAACUCCGUGCCAGCAGCCGCGGUAAUACGGAGGGGGCGAGCGUUGUUCGGAGUGACUGGGCGUAAAGAGCACGUAGGCGGUGUUGUAAGUCAUUAGUCAAAGACUAGAGCUCAACUUUAGUAAGGCUAGGGAUACUAUAAUACUAGAGUAUCAGAGAGGAUUGCAGAAUUCCUGGUGUAGCGGUGAAAUGCGUAGAUAUCAGGAGGAAUACCGUUAGCGAAGGCGGCAAUCUGGCUGGAAACUGACGCUGAGGUGCGAAAGCGUGGGUAGCAAACAGGAUUAGAUACCCCUGUAGUC
rnacentral:rRNA from 1 species